rnacentral:lncRNA from 1 species
AUACCAAAAUUUCCAUGGAAUUCCCAGAUACACUCACUCACCAUCAUCCUCACUGGUAGACACGAUCAUAGGCGCUUCUCCAUUUUUAGAUACAAAACUACACAUAUCGGCUUUCCUCACCAACAAGCUCACACUACAUACGCAUUCUCUGAGGUAUAGGAUACAAAAAAAUAGCAUAGAGAGAAAACAACGAGAGAGAGAGAGUUGUAGAGAGAGUGAUGAAGACAGAGAGAGAGAUCGGCGGGUUAGAUUUUUCUGGAGGUAUCCACGUCGGAAUCGAUGUUUGUCGUCAGAAAUGGGUUGAAUCAGUAAUAAACUCACUGAAAAAUUCUUCAUUUUCUUUUGAUAUUAGGACGAGACUUAUCCAGAAUCCUGUCUAUCCCAAUUUGCCUGAGCUCGAUUCCACUUGGUUUCAGUUUGCCUGAGCUCGAUUCCACUUGAUUUCAGUUUCUAUCGGAUUUUUGAGGGGGUCGCGAGUUGAUUUCGGUCUGGUUUGGGUUAGAUUUCUAUCUGUUCGGACGUCUCGUGGGUUUGGUAUUUGGAUCGGACCUUAAGUUCGGGUUUUUUAUCAAGUUGGUUCGUUGUUGAGGCUCCCAUUUGAGGAUUUUGAUUUUGGAUUUUUUUAUUAUCAGCGAAAACAAGUUCCAUUGAGGUCCAUUCUCUUAACUCGUUCUCUUUUCUUUGCCUUGAUUGGUUAAAUUGUUGUGAUUAUGUGUGGUGUGAUCAUGGUUGGUGGAUUUUGUCGAUGUUGUGAUCUUUUAUGUGUUUGACGAUGUGAUUUCGGUGAUACAUGGAAUGAAUUGGAGUAAUUUUUGGUGUAAUUGAUGGAAACGAAGCUAGGUGGGGGUUUGGAAUUGAGAAAUUAAUAAAAUGGGCGAAUCUAAAUAAAUUUUUGGUUUAUUAUUGUUGAAUUCGGAAUAAGUAUGAAUAUUGUCGGAACACUAUAGAAUCAUGGUAUGUUGAAAUGAAUAGGCAAAUGUAGGUUUGGGUAGGCAAAUUUAGAAUUGUUGGAUUGUGGGAAUGCUUGGAAUAUUUGUUGAAUGUUUUGUUUAUUGCAUUCGAAAAGUGUAUUUAGCCGGGGAAUGCCCCGAGGUCAUUUGUAUUUACUCAUCGGGGGAUGCCCCAAAGAAUUUUGUAUGCGAAGGAUGUUCAUGAUCAAGGCCCGAGGCAUCGGGUAAAGCAUAGUUUAGGACUAGAGUAGGUCAUUCCAGUAUUUUUUAUUUCGAUUUGUAAUAAAUUGGACUGGAUGCUAAAUUUUGGAUUAUUUUGUUUUGUUUGC